GCUGUAGUUCAGUUGGUCAGAGCGUCAGAUUGUGGUUCUGAAUGUCGUGGGUUCGAACCCCAUCAG
rnacentral:tRNA from 1 species